AGCGGCCGGUCUAAGUUCCUUGGAACAGGACGUCACAGAGGGUGAGAAUCCCGUAUGUGAUCGGCCCGCGCCCUCUACGUAGCUCCUUCGACGAGUCGAGUUGUUUGGGAAUGCAGCUCUAAAUGGGAGGUAAAUUUCUUCUAAAGCUAAAUACCGGCCAGAGACCGAUAGCGCACAAGUAGAGUGAUCGAAAGAUGAAAAGCACUUUGGAAAGAGAGUUAAAAAGCACGUGAAAUUGUUGAAAGGGAAGGGCUUGCAACCAGACUUGACGGCGGUGUUCCCCCGGGCUUCUGCCCGGGUUAUUCACCGUCGGCAGGCCAUCAUCGUCUGGGGCCGCUGGAGAAACCGUCAGGAAUGUGGCUCCCUCGGGAGUGUUAUAGCCUGUCGACAUGCAGCGUGCCCCGGGCGAGGUCCGCGCUUAGGCAAGGAUGAUGGCGUAAUGGUUGUCAGCCGCCCGUCUUGAAACACGGACCAAGGAGUCUAACAUCUAUGCGAGUGUUCGGGUGUCAAACCCCUACGCGUAAUGAAAGUGAACGGAGGUGGGAGCUUCGGCGCACCAUCGACCGAUCCUGAUGUCCUCGGAUGGAUUUGAGUAAGAGCAUAGCUGUUGGGACCCGAAAGAUGGUGAACUAUGCCUGAAUAGGGUGAAGCCAGAGGAAACUCUGGUG
rnacentral:rRNA from 1 species